AACCGAUAUAAUUUUAUUAUAUUUAAAUUGACUGGGGCGGUCUCCUCCUAAAGAGUAACGGAGGAGCACGAAGGUUGGCUAAUCCUGGUCGGACAUCAGGAGGUUAGUGCAAUGGCAUAAGCCAGCUUGACUGCGAGCGUGACGGCGCGAGCAG
rnacentral:rRNA from 1 species